rnacentral:rRNA from 1 species
CCCUUAGAUGUUCUGGGCUGCACGCGUGCUACACUGAUAUUGCCAAUAUGUCAUUCUUAUCUGAAAUGGAUUGGGUAAUCAAGUAAUGAAAUUUCAUGCUUGGAAUCGGUAAUUGCAAUUUUAUCGUGAACGAGGAAUUCCUAGUAAGCACUAGUCAUCAGCUAAUGUUGAUUAUGUCCCUGCCCUUUGUACACACCGCCCGUCGCUACUACUGAUUGGGUGUUCAAGUGAGAUGCUUAGACCCUUGUUGCAUGGUUCAUUAUUGUGCUCCGAAAGGAAAAAGUUUCAAGCUUGAGUGUCUAGAGGAAGUAAAAGUCGUAACA